rnacentral:lncRNA from 1 species
UACAAAGAAAGUGGAAAUACAAAAAUGAAUAAAAUAGAAGGAAUUAAAGAGGAGCAACUACGAAAAUGAAGAAAAUAGAACAAAUUAAGAAGAGGAGCAACUGUAAAAAUGAAGAAAAUAGAAGAAAUUAAAAAAUAACGAGCAACUAAGACCACAAAAGAAAUAAGCACUAGCUUGAAACCAGGUGAGAUUCAAACCUGGGUUUUGAAUGUGAAUUUGGCAACUCAACCAUGGCACCCACAUUCAUUUUGUUACCUUAAGGUGUCACUCCGACCUUGAGUUCGAGUCUCCCCAAAAAAAAGUGGAAGGUUCUUGGAGGGAAGGAUGCCGAGGGUCUAUUAGGAAACAACCUCUCUAUUCAAGAGUAGGAGUAAGGUCUGUAUACACACUACCCUCCCUAGACCCAACUAAGUGGGAUUAUACUGAGUUGUUGUUGUUGUUGUUGUAAGGUGUCACUCAGACACUAUAUCAUAUUUUUCAGUAAAAUACCAAUACAUAUAUGAAAUUUUAAUUUAUCCGAGUGUCCGGGUGCCGUACCACCCCAAAGUCUCUAUGUAAAUCCACCGCAUCUUUAGAUGUAUAGGUCCAUUUUUACUUUUCUUGCAAGUCUUACAGGGUUGAAACACUGAUC